rnacentral:rRNA from 1 species
AUACAGAGGGUGCAAGCGUUAAUCGGAAUUACUGGGCGUAAAGCGCGCGUAGGCGGCUUUGCAAGUCGGAUGUGAAAGCCCUGGGCUUAACCUGGGAAUUGCAUUCGAUACUGCUGGACUAGAGUAUGGUAGAGGGAAGUGGAAUUUCCGGUGUAGCGGUGAAAUGCGUAGAUAUCGGAAGGAACACCAGUGGCGAAGGCGACUUCCUGGGCCAAUACUGACGCUGAGGUGCGAAAGCGUGGGGAGCAAACAGGAGUAGAAACCCCAGUAGUCC